UUCUGCCUACGGGAGGCAGCAGUGGGGAGUAUUGGGCAAUGGGCGCAAGCCUGACCCAGCAACGCCGCGUGAAGGAAGAAGGCUUUCGGGUUGUAAACUUCUUUUCUCAGGGACGAAGAAAGUGACGGUACCUGAGGAAUAAGCCACGGCUAACUACGUGCCAGCAGCCGCGGUAAUACGUAGGUGGCAAGCGUUAUCCGGAUUUAUUGGGUGUAAAGGGCGUGUAGGCGGGAACGCAAGUCAGAUGUGAAAACUCCGGGCUCAACCCUGCGCCUGCAUUUGAAACUGUGGUUCUUGAGUGCUGG
rnacentral:rRNA from 1 species